GUGGGGAAUCUUAGACAAUGGGCGCAAGCCUGAUCUAGCCAUGCCGCGUGAGUGAUGAAGGCCCUAGGGUUGUAAAGCUCUUUCAGCUGGGAAGAUAAUGACGGUACCAGCAGAAGAAGCCCCGGCUAACUCCGUGCCAGCAGCCGCGGUAAUACGGAGGGGGCUAGCGUUGUUCGGAAUUACUGGGCGUAAAGCGCGCGUAGGCGGACUGAAAAGUUGGGGGUGAAAUCCCGGGGCUCAACCUCGGAACUGCCUUCAAAACUAUCAGUCUGGAGUUCGAGAGAGGUGAGUGGAAUUCCGAGUGUAGAGGUGAAAUUCGUAGAUAUUCGGAAGAACACCAGUGGCGAAGGCGACACACUGGCUCAUUACUGACGCUGAGGCGCGAAAGCGUGGGGAGCAAACAGGAUUAGAUACCCUAGUAGUCC
rnacentral:rRNA from 1 species